rnacentral:rRNA from 1 species
CGAAGGGGGCUAGCGUUGCUCGGAAUCACUGGGCGUAAAGGGCGCGUAGGCGGCCGAUCAAGUCAGAGGUGAAAGCCCAGGGCUCAACCCUGGAAUUGCCUUUGAUACUGUUCGGCUAGAGACCGGAAGAGGUUAGUGGAACUGCGAGUGUAGAGGUGAAAUUCGUAGAUAUUCGCAAGAACACCAGUGGCGAAGGCGGCUAACUGGCCGGUUACUGACGCUGAAGGCGCGAAAAGCGUGGGGAGCAAACAGGAUU